rnacentral:rRNA from 1 species
CAGCAGCCACGGUAAUACGUAGGGUGCGAGCGUUAAUCGGAAUUACUGGGCGUAAAGCGUGCGCAGGCGGUUCGUUAAGACAGAUGUGAAAUCCCCGGGCUUAACCUGGGAACUGCAUUUGUGACUGGCGAGCUAGAGUAUGGCAGAGGGGGGUAGAAUUCCACGUGUAGCAGUGAAAUGCGUAGAGAUGUGGAGGAAUACCGAUGGCGAAGGCAGCCCCCUGGGCCAAUACUGACGCUCAUGCACGAAAGCGUGGGGAGCAAACAGGAUUAGAUACCCGCGUAGUCCCUGUCUCUUAUAC